GGGCGGGUAUCCAAGUGGUUAAAGGAUGCAGACUGUAAAUCUGUUACCGUAAGGUUUCGCUGGUUCAAAUCCAGCCCCGCUCACCA
rnacentral:tRNA from 1 species